rnacentral:rRNA from 1 species
GGGUGAGUAACACGUGAGCAAUCUGCCCUUGACUCUGGGAUAAGCGUUGGAAACGACGUCUAAUACCGGAUACGAGCCUCAACCGCAUGGUUAGGGGUUGGAAAGAAUUUCGGUCAAGGAUGAGCUCGCGGCCUAUCAGCUUGUUGGUGAGGUAAUGGCUCACCAAGGCGACGACGGGUAGCCGGCCUGAGAGGGUGACCGGCCACACUGGGACUGAGACACGGCCCAGACUCCUACGGGAGGCAGCAGUGGGGAAUAUUGCACAAUGGGCGCAAGCCUGAUGCAGCAACGCCGCGUGAGGGAUGACGGCCUUCGGGUUGUAAACCUCUUUUAGCAGGGAAGAAGCGCAAGUGACGGUACCUGCAGAAAAAGCACCGGCUAACUACGUGCCAGCAGCCGCGGUAAUACGUAGGGUGCAAGCGUUGUCCGGAAUUAUUGGGCGUAAAGAGCUCGUAGGCGGUUUGUCGCGUCUGCUGUGAAAACCCGAGGCUCAACCUCGGGCCUGCAGUGGGUACGGGCAGACUAGAGUGCGGUAGGGGAGAUUGGAAUUCCUGGUGUAGCGGUGGAAUGCGCAGAUAUCAGGAGGAACACCGAUGGCGAAGGCAGAUCUCUGGGCCGUAACUGACGCUGAGGAGCGAAAGCGUGGGGAGCGAACAGGAUUAGAUACCCUGGUAGUCCACGCCGUAAACGUUGGGAACUAGAUGUGGGGGCCAUU